rnacentral:rRNA from 1 species
UGGGGAAUAUUGGGCAAUGGGGGAAACCCUGACCCAGCAACGCCGCGUGAAGGAAGAAGGCCCUCGGGUUGUAAACUUCUUUUAUAGGGAAAGAUAAUGACGGUACCUUAUGAAUAAGCCACGGCUAACUACGUGCCAGCAGCCGCGGUAAUACGUAGGUGGCAAGCGUUGUCCGGAUUUAUUGGGUGUAAAGGGCGCGUAGGCGGGACUGUAAGUCUGAUGUGAAAUGCAGUGGCUUAACCACUGAGCUGCAUUGGAAACUAUAGUUCUUGAGUAAUGGAGAGGCAGGCGGAAUUCCCUGUGUAGCGGUGAAAUGCGUAGAUAUAGGGAGGAACACCAGUGGCGAAGGCGGCCUGCUGGACAUUCACUGACGCUGAGGCGCGAAAGCGUGGGGAGCAAACA